AUGGCCCAGAUCCCCAAAGUUAUUUAGAUUUCCAACUUGACCUGAGCAAAGGUGCCUAUGUUCCUUUGAGGAUCAGGGCAGGGCAUGCAUCUCAUUUUUGGCUGGUGCAGGUGGUCACCUGCUCACAAGGGUGCCGGAAUAGGAGGAGUCGGGGGCUAUGGGCCCCAUCACUUUUUACCAGCCAUAAAGGUUUUGUUCACUAUGAAGACUUCAGUGCCAGCUGUGGCACUGUGGGGGAAAAAAGCACCCUCUCACAGCAUCACUGCCAUAAUGAUUACAGAUGACCAGAAGACUGUUGUUACAGGAAGUCAAGAGGGGCAAAUAUGUCUUUGGAAUCUCUCAUCGGAAUUAAAGAUUUCAUCUAAAGAAAUUCUCUUUGGUCAUACUGCUUCAGUAACAUGCUUGGCGAAAGCAAGAGACUUUGAGAAACAACCAUAUGUGGUUAGUGCUACUGAAAAUGGGGAGAUGUGUGUUUGGAAUGUCACUAGUGGACAGUGCAUUGACAGUGCAAACCUUCCUUAUAGGCAUACAGCAAUCUGUUAUUACCAUUGCUCCUUCCGAAUGACAGGAGAUGGCUGGCUUCUGUGCUGUGGACAAUAUCAAGAUGUCGUCAUUAUUGAUGCUAAGACUUUGGCAGUUCUUCACACUUUAAUAUCUUUUCAGUCUUCUGACUGGAUCAGUUGCAUGUGCAUUGUUCACUCCACAAGGAUUCAAGAAGAUUCACUAGUAGCAGUAUCUGUAACUGGAGAUCUUAAAGUAUGGGAUCUAUCCUCAUCAGUGACCAGUAUACAGGAGAGGCAAAGUGUGUAUGAACAAGAAUCCAAGUCUCUGGACUGUACAAACUGCCAAGCAAUAAGAUUUUGCACCUACACAGAAAGACUCCUCUUAGUCGUGCUUGCAAACUGUUGGAAGGUCUAUGAUUAUUGUGAUUUUUCCUUGCUGUGCACUGAAUUCAACAAAAGUGGUCAGUGCUUUGCUGGUGGUGAAGUGCUAGCUGCUCAGAGACUCAUCAUCUGGAUGGAAGAUGGUCACAGUUACAUCUACCAGCUGCUGAACAGUGGACAUUCUAAAAGCAUAUAUCCUGCUGAUGGAAAAGUGCUCAAAGAAACUGUUUAUCCUCAUUUACUCUGCUCCACUUAUGUGAAAGAAAAUAAGAGUUUUCCUUUUGUUAUGGGCUUUAUGAAUGAAAGAAAGGAACCUUUCUAUAAGAUUCUUUUUUCUGGAGAAGCAUCUGGAAGAAUCACCUUGUGGCAUAUUCCUGAUGUCCCAGUGUCAACGCUUGAUGGUUCUCCAAAAGAGAUCCCAAUAGCAGAAACUUGGACUCUGCAGGACGAUUUUGACAAACAUUGUGCUAUGUCGGAAGGCAUUAUUGAUCAUCUUUGUGCAUCUAAAGAUGGGACCGAAAGUGCAGCAGUCACUUCAUCCGUAUAUGUGCCCAACCUUGAUAAGCUGGUGUGUGGGUGUGAAGAUGGGAAAAUUUUCAUAACACUUGCUUUGCAUGCUGCCAAAGCAAGAAUUUUAGAAGACAUUUCUUUGCUGAAACAUACUUUGCCUUCCAAAGUUCUUAAGGGCCACCGCAGCAGUGUUACUUGUUUACUUUAUCCACACAGUGAAUCAGUCAGGUUUGAUCCAAGCUGGCUGGUGUCAGCUGGCCAGGAUUCUUGUGUGAUCUGGUGGGAUAUAUUUAAGGAGGAAAUUUUGCAUCAAUUCACUCUGCAAGCUGGUCCAGUAGUGAACCUGUUGUUAUCACCAGAGAACUACAGACUAAACGGGCACAGGAUUGUGUGCUGUAUAUGCAGUGAUCAUUCAGUAGCACUUCUACACCUUCAGGAGAGAGUAUGUCUCUUACAUGCCAGGAAGCAUUUGUUUCCUGUGAAGAUGAUAAAAUGGCACCUUGCUGAAAAUCUGCUAAUUGUUGGAUGCGAAGAUGAUUCAGUUUAUGUUUGGGAAAUUGAAACAGGGACUCUAGAACGGCAUGAAACAGAUGAAAUGGCAAAAGCAAUUCUUACUUCCUGUGAAGAUUCAGAGUAUUUAGUGACUGAUUCUAUACUUCCAGUCUCUCAAGAUACACAAAAACAUAAAAAUGCAGGAUACAAAUCCUCCAGCACUUACAAACGUGGCACAGUGUCCCACAAUCUUACCCACACAGAAAAGUCUUCAGCUAAGCAAACUGGUACCAGCCAUGUCCAACGGCCUUUUACUAUCUUGCCAGUAAAGACAAAAUGGAACAACAUAAGCUUUCAUGUUCUCUUAUUUGAUCUGGAAAAACUUGUAGAACUUUUACUGUCAUCUCAACUCAGUGGACUGAAAUCAUCAAAUUCAUUCCACAGUUAUGACAUUUUAAAAAGAGCCAAAAGCACAGCAGAGAAAAGGACACUAAUGUUGAAAAGAAAUAAAACUGCUGGCUCUCUCUUCCCAAUGGAUGGGCAAGUAAAAAAUGCUUGUGAAAAAAAGGUCCAUAGGGAUAAUAGUGCAGCGAGGUCUUUGGAAGAAAUUGGUGGCAUCAAAAGACAUAAAAAAAUGAAGAGUUCAAAAAAGAUUAGACUGCAGCCAUCAGGAAAAAUCGAUGCUAACGUCACCACAGACACAGUUAAACUGCUUUUGUCAUGUCUCUUACCAUGGGGUGUGGAUAAAGAAUUAGACAAUCACUGUGUUAGAUAUUUAGAUCUCUUCAGACUUCAGUGUCCAGUUUCUUUUGGACUAGUAUCAAAUGGAAAUCACAUAUCACUAAUGCUGCCAGGAUGGAAUUGUAAUCACUGUGGUGUGGUGGAAGAACAUACGCCAAUUAACUUGUUUUCCAGAAAAGUGCUAGAUUUGUCAGACAAGUACAUCACUGCAGGCCAAGGACAAAUUGGAAAGAAAUAUGGACUAGACCAUAAUGCUGAUGGCAUACAAGGAUCACAAAUUGUAUUCUACUUAUUGAGCAGAGUAUCUUUAGUCAACAGGAUAGUUACUUUGCCUUUGGAAUUCACCAACACAAUUGACAGUCCACAGAAAUUAGAAUCUGUACGUAACAAGGGGAGAAGUUCAGAAACAUUCAGCCCUUCAUUUUCCAUUUUUUAUGGAGAGUUACCAAACUAUACAAGUGGAUUCCAUUUCCCUGAUCCUGGGAAUGUUUCACUGGUGAAACUCAUUUCAUGUUGGAGAGACCAAUCCGUAAAGAUUAUUGAGGUGAUACAAGCAGCGCUACUGGCAGAAGUACAAAGAAGUAUGAAAACCUUGAAAAAGACAUCAAUCGGCAAUCAACCAGUGACCAUGAUAGACAAUGGAAAUGGUGAGGUGCAGACACUGGCAAAAAAUGAGCAGACAGAGCAGAUGGCGAAAUGCAUUAAAAACAUUCCCUUGCCGACAUGACUAAACUGGAAGGUCUUCCUUAUGUAAGGAGGGAAACCAUGGACUUUUUAAGUGCUGUGCCUGGUUAAGACAGUGUUGCACAGUCAUUGUGUUGCUUGAUAAGGCAUGUGGAUUAAAGAUGGAAAAGCCUAAAAAGCCGUUGAAUCUGCCCUUGCUCCCCCCGGCACCCCACAUAGUCAAUCAGCUCAUGAAGAGACGUUACACAGGCAAGAUUGCUGGGGGCUGAGGAAACACUCAUUCUGCGGACACAACCAGGGCUUGAGACCCCAGAACCAGUCAUGAGAGCCACGAAACUGUGAUAAUUGAUGAUGAAAAUGAUCACAAGGGCAGUGCAGAGGAGGAGCAUGAUGACAAUCCUUGGACCCAGCAUUGUCUGAGAAACCAGACAGGAGAACCCUACAGUUCAAAUGUCAGGGUGUACGGAGACAAGUCACAGCUGAGCAGUGGUUCUUCAGAGGCUUUGGAGAGUCUGGACACUGACAGCCUUAAAGGCACAAAUGGAUUAGAGCUGCCCUGCUUUUGCCAGAUCUGAAACCAGAUGCUCACCAGGAUGCUAAGAGAGAGAGGGAGCUAAUUCUACAGACAUGUACUAUCUAGCUUUGAGGAAGGAAUUUGGUAUGAACCAGUGCUGGUCCAUAACCUUAGAACUGUUGUCUGCAAUUGUACAAGCUGCUGUGCACGGAAGCAUUAAGCAUUGUCUGAGAGAGAUGUUUGAGGAUUGUUAAGAUUGUGUCAUAGAUGCCCCCGGGCAGUGCAGUCAUGAUGGUGUGAACUGGUCUUCAGAGGACUGGACUUUAUUUAUCAACCUUAAAAUCAAAGAAAUGUCUGCUAAUUUGUGCAUGGGAAGUGAUUUUAAUAUUGUCAUUGCACUGGUGUAUGCUCUGCAGUGCCUCUCUUUCACCCAGGAAAAUUUAAGUCAAGGGGUGGAGGCGGUGAAUCAAGUGGCAAAUGCGGGGGCCCCAGACUGUUGCAUAAAAUAACCAGAAGUUGAAUAUACUUAAUGCAGAAUGUUGACCGUAUUCUUCAUACAUGAAAUUACAAAAGACCAUUUAAACAAAAAAAGAUCUGUUUGCAGAAAAACAAAAGUUAGAGAGUCGGGAGAGGACACAACUGCUGAUAUAAAAAUUAAUGGUUGUGAAUAAAAUGGCAAUUGAAAAAUGGCUCUGUGAAGUGUGUGAUUUAU